ACGAACGCUGGCGGCUGCUUAACACAUGCACGUCGAACGGAGUGGCGGACGGGUGCGUAACGCGUGAGCAACCUGCCUAUAACAGUGGGAUAGCCUCGGGAAACCGGGAUUAAUACCGCAUAGUCAUAGAUAGGCUCGCGUCUGAUUAGCCCGUUGGUGAGAUAACAGCCCACCAAGGCGACGAUCAGUAGCCGGUCUGAGAGGAUGAACGGGCACAUUGGAACUGAGCAACGGUCCAAAAUCCUACGGGAGGCAGCAGUGGGGAAUAGUGCACAAUGGGGGAAACCCUGAUGCAGCGACGCCGGGUGAACGAAGAAGGUAUUCGUAUCGGAAAGUUCUGUCCUAUGGGAAGCAGUACCAUAGAAGAAAGCUCCGGCUAAAUACGUGCCAGCAGCCGCGGUAAUAC
rnacentral:rRNA from 1 species